rnacentral:rRNA from 1 species
UCGAGAAUUUUUCUCAAUGGGCGAAAGCCUGAAGGAGCGACGCCGCGUGGGGGAUGAAGGGCUUCGGCCCGUAAACCCCUGUCAUUUGCGAACAAACCUUCCGAUCUAACACGUCGGAAGCUGAUUGUAGCGAAAGAGGAAGGGACGGCUAACUCUGUGCCAGCAGCCGCGGUAAUACAGAGGUCCCAAGCGUUGUUCGGAUUCACUGGGCGUAAAGGGUGCGUAGGUGGCAGGGUAAGUUUGAUGUGAAAUCUCCGGGCUUAACCCGGAAACUGCAUUGAAUACUAUCCUGCUCGAGGGUUGGAGGGGGGACUGGAAUUCUCGGUGUAGCAGUGAAAUGCGUAGAUAUCGAGAGGAACACCAGUGGCGAAGGCGAGUCCCUGGACAACUCCUGACACUGAGGCACGAAAGCUAGGGGAGCAAACAGGAUUAGAUACCCCCGUAGUCC